ACAUUAUGCCUGGAAUGGUUUAUGUUCCAAAUGAUUUAUCGCCGUAGGAUGGGACUGCGGCCUAUCAGUUUGUUGGUGAGGUAAUGGCCCACCAAGACUAUUACAGGUACGGGCUCUGAGAGGAGUGGCCCGGAGAUGGGUACUGAGACACGGACCCAGGCCCUAUGGGGCGCAGCAGGCGAGAAAACUUUGCAAUGUGCGAAAGCACGACAAGGUUAAUCCGAGUGAUUUGUGCUAAACGAAUCUUUUGCCAGUCCUAGAAACACUGGUGAAUAAGGGGUGGGCAAGUUCUGGUGUCAGCCGCCGCGGUAAAACCAGCACCUCAAGUGGUCAGGAUGAUUAUUGGGCCUAAAGCAUCCGUAGCCGGCUCUGUAAGUUUUCGGUUAAAUCUGUACGCUCAACGUACAGGCUGCCGGGAAUACUGCAGAGCUAGGGAGUGGGAGAGGUAGACGGUACUCGGUAGGAAGGGGUAAAAUCCUUUGAUCUAUUGAUGACCACCUGUGGCGAAGGCGGUCUACCAGAACACGUCCGACGGUGAGGGAUGAAAGCUGGGGGAGCAAACCGGAUUAGAUACCCGGGUAGUCCCAGCUGUAAACUAUGCAAACUCAGUGAUGCAUUGGCUUGUGGCCAAUGCAGUGCU
rnacentral:rRNA from 1 species